rnacentral:rRNA from 1 species
GAGUUUGAUCGUGGCUCAGGAUAAACGCUGGCGGCGCACAUAAGACAUGCAAGUCGAACGAACUUAAUUUUAAUAUUUAUAUUAAAAAGCGGUUAGUGGCGGACUGGUGAGUAACGCGUAAGCAAUCUGCCUAUCAGAGGGGGAAUAACAGUGAGAAAUCAUUGCUAAUACCGCAUAUGCCAUAAGAAUCACAUGAUUCUAGUGGGAAAGGAGCAAUCCACUGAUAGAUGAGCUUGCGUCUGAUUAGCUAGUUGGUGGGAUAACGGCCUACCAAGGCGACGAUCAGUAGCCGGACUGAGAGGUUGAACGGCCACAUUGGGACUGAGAUACGGCCCAGACUCCUACGGGAGGCAGCAGUCGGGAAUAUUGCGCAAUGGAGGAAACUCUGACGCAGUGACGCCGCGUAUAGGAAGAAGGUUUUCGGAUUGUAAACUAUUGUCGUUAGGGAAGAUAAAAGACAGUACCUAAGGAGGAAGCUCCGGCUAACUACGUGCUAGCAGCCGCCGCCGU